GAUUCCCAGUGAGGAAAGUGUGCACACACAGGUACCAUAAUAGCUGUCAGGGUGUGUAUCUUCUUCCUCAUCUUUCACUCCAGGCUAAAUUUCAAAGCAUCUUGUGCAGGAAGCAACUGAUGCUUGUAGAUUGCCCCCACAUGCCACCCCAAUGGCCUGCUGGAAUCUUGUGCAUCUGGUCACAGGGACAGAACAAGGUUUUCCCAGUAAUUACUCUGCCCAGCUGCCAUGGGGGUGCAAAGUAUGAGACAGGCUAUCUUUCUUCCUGUUUUGUAAGCACCCUAUAUUUCUGACUUGCUGAAAUACGGCACUGUGGUAGAGGUGAGGCUGCUGUAGUAUUUUGUGGCUGGGAAAAAUGGGGAAGGAGGAACUCAGAGGGAGACAGAGUGGAAGCUAGGGUUAAUGGACCAGGGUUUCAUAGGUAAGUUAGGAUGAGAUGGUGGACAGAAUCAGAAUAUGGCUGACAACACGGGGAAGAUUAACUGAACUAAGGGAGGAUGAGAGGUGGGACCUUUUUUAUACCCUGUCCAAACCUAAUAUUUUUAGAUAUCCUCACCCAUUCCAAGCACACUUUCCUCCUCUCUGUGCCCUUCCACCCAGGCCAAGAACCACCCCUUGGGUCCUUUCCCCUUGCUAUAGAAACUCAAGCUUCGCUCAGCUUCAUCCGAUUCAGGCACCACCUUGUUUCAUCUGUUAGUUCUGGCUGCCUAUGUACUAUGUGCUCCCUAUUAUCAGUCCAGGGGAUAAACUCCUGACUUUCCCCACACCUGCUAUCAAUGCUGAGGAGAACCAAUGAAAAUCUCUGUAAUGAAAUGCAUCUUUUGCUUCACUACCACUAUUUAUCAGAUGGUUCCGUUUAGAGGGCUAGUAGCAAGGGAAAUGGCAAUACCCAAACCCAGCUCUUCUGGAUAUUCAUAAAUCUUGAAGCAUGAUUGAAGAACACAAGAAAGAAAGUGGUCCAACAAUUGUUCUAGAUUUGCAGAGAUGAAUUAUGAUGCUGUCUUUUUCUCCACAGUACUACCAAGUCUUUCAGCCAUUACAAGAACAUUCCUACUGAUCUGCAUCCUAACAGUGUAUAUUGUGCAAGUGUUGUCAUUGUUUAUCCAUUUAGCUCCUACAAAGCCUAUCAAGCAGGGGUAGGCAACAUUUUUGGUUGGAGUGCCAAAAAAACUGCAAUGUCUACCUUGUAACGUGCUGGAGUGCCAACACACUAGAAAAACAGAUCU